GCGACCGCCGGGUGCAGCACGGACAGCAGCUAAUCUGCAGAGCGACCGCCAGGUGCAGCACGGACAGCAGCUAAUCUGCAGAGCGACCGCCAGGUGCAGCACGGACAGCAGCUAAUCUGCAGAGCGACCGCCGGGUGCAGCACGGACAGCAGCUAAUCUGCAGAGCGACCGCCUGGUGCAACACGAACAGCAGCUAAUCUGCAGAGCAACUGCCGGGUGCAGCACGGACAGCGGCUAAUCUGCAGAGCGACCGCCGGGUGCAGCACAGACAGCAGCUAAACUGCAGAGCGACCGCCAGGUGCAGCACGAACAGCAGCUAAUCUGCAGAGCGACCGCCGGGUGCAGCACAGACAGCGGCUAAUCUGCAGACAGCCUAUCACACACC